rnacentral:lncRNA from 1 species
CGUGAUGGAUGUGCUUGGUAGAUACCACAAUAUGCAUUUAAAUAUGUUUUCUAAUUUCAAGUGGUGAUGUGUUUUCCUUAAAUUGAAUUGUCCACGCUGAUUCCAUUUUUUUUUGUUAGGCAUUUCUUUUUUUCUUUUCUUUUAAAGUAGUUUAGGAUUUAGAUAAACUUUAAUUUUUAUUUUAUUUUCUUUUAUUUUA